GUAAUUUCUGUCAUUUUUGACCGACACUUCUAUAGAGUGAGACACACAUGCACACAGACGUGUAGAUGUGGUUCAAUAUAACCACUCACUCUCAUAAUUUAUUCGUUUCUUAAUCUCAAGUGUUUUAUAUUUCACUUUUAAUUUGAAGCAUAAUGACUGAUCUGUGGCGAUCCUGAUCCUCUGGACACUUUCAGACGUAAGCUGUUCGAGACGCACUGAAUGAACUGAGGUUAUAAUCUUUAAUAACUCUUGUGCAAGUGUCCACUGAAGCCCUCGUCAUAUAUCUGUCCACUAUUACUGCUGUGCUUCUCACCUGUCUGAUCAUCUACAUCUCCUCAGCGCUGGAGACGGAUGGAGCCAUUAGGGCUUUAACGAGUUUUAAAGAUUACUGAUGUCAGGUCUGUGUGACGCUCUCAUAUGAACCCUUCCAUGUGUUUAUUCCCCCGAAGAACCUCCUGAGAUAUAUGCAAUGAACACUUGAAAAGUCGGGCAACUGCAGAUUCUAUGAAACUGUUAUUUGUGACAUUUUAAAGUCAUCAUUUAACAGAGGGUUUUAUCCAGAGUAUCUGGCUAGAGGAUCCUGUUUUGUCCCUGGUUUGUUGGAGGAGCUGGUCCUUCUGCGAUCCUGCUGUCUGAUUAACUGUCAUACUGGACCUCAAUCAAUCUCUCAGCGCUGAAACACAUUUGUGUGUGUGUUGGACCCCACUGAUUUUCAUAGUACAUUGACAGAGUCCUGGACAGAAACGAAGACAUUCUCCAAACCUCACAGAAAAAAGACGGUCACACGGGUUCGGAUCGACACUAGCGUGAAAAAUCGUAGCCAGCGACUGAUUCUUGGAUAAUCUGUCCUUUUAAAAUUUGCAUCUGCUUCUCUUUUUGUUCUAAAUGAAAUGAAGCUUUUAUAGACCAGUGUCCCAUAAACGGUGUUGAACAUCUUCAGUCUUUAGGAUGUUGUGAGAGUGUGUUACGGUUCUGAAGGUGAAAGCAGAACGUGUGUAAUGUCCACAGCGUCAGCCGAUUACAUCCGAAUAAUACACCCUGUUAACAUUUUACAAGAUCGCUGGAUUCAUAGAGAGCAUUUGGAACGGAGACUGUAGUGAUGUAAGUGCAGCUUUACAGACGGCAGAGGUCAAGGACAGCCUUAAAAACACCAUACAAAUCAUAAUUAUCUGGAAGUUAGAAUAAAGGCAAAGCACAGAAUGAUUUACCCGCGUCUGACGGGCUUCUGGAUCGGCCGAAUCUGUCCUUGUGUGACACAGAAUUCAUCCAAACCUGGGACUGAGUGACCUUCGACCUGUUGGACCCCAUUGAAGUCACUGGAGUGUGUUCCUCAAAAACCUUCAUGUCUUUCCCACUGAAGAAAGAAGGACGUGCACAUCUUGGAUGAGGUGGAGGAGAGAUAAUUAACUAAUUAAUUCUGAAGUGAGCUAAUCCUCUAAAGGUCUGGGUUUGUGAAGGAUUUGUUCUGUCAUACAGCAGAGAUAUUAAUGUGCCGCAUAUUUCACGGCAGUGUCGAUCUUGAUGUUGAUCUUCUGGAUGUCAUUAGGGGACGGUAAUGAAGCUCCGCGUCGGGUCAGGGAACGUCCUUCAGUGUGGCAAGCCCUUUUAGCUUUUAUUC